GAAGAGCAAGAGUCAGUAUCUUUUUCAUAUCAGAAACCAUAAAGAUUACAAGGACUAAAUUACUCACCACUGGUCAAAAAACUGAUCCUACACACUAGGGACCUAGAAACCUUCUCCAGCCAUUAAUGGUCAUUGGAGGAUAUCAUCCAUCCACUUGGAAGAAGAUGGGAAUGCAAGGUACAAUUAAAAAAGAUAAGAACACCAGCUGUACGCAUUCUAAAAACAGAAAAUGGAACUAGCCGUUGCACAUUUGAACCUAACGGCUACUUGCUAAACAUAGCAAGUUCUUCAUCUUUUCGAUUUCAGCAUUCUCUUCACUUCUUUCUGCAGGAUUGUCAUCUGCAGUUUGAUAUUAAGCUAGUAUGCAGCUUAAAUCUCAACAGCCUCUCCUAAGCUGCUUACUGGCUUAACUCCAAGUCUUAAUCUCAACUGAUUAAAUCUAUCUUUUGGCAAAGCUUUUGUGAAUAUAUCUGCAAGUUGUUCUUCACUUCUGCAGAACUGCAACUCGAUCACCCCUUCUUGCAGAGCUUCCCUUAUGAAAUGAUACCGCCUGUUUAUGUGUCUAGUUCUCUGAUGAAAUACAGGAUUUUUGACCAUAGAAAUUGCUGACAUAUUAUCUCACAAAAUAAAGGUGUUGCCUCAGUUUGCAUUUCCCCAAAAUCAUCAAGAACGAAUCUCAACCAAAUUGACUGUGCAGUUGCCUCAGCUGCUGAAACAUACUCAGCUUCAGCGGUUGACAAUGCAACUGUGUUUUGUUUCACAGAAGCCCAAGAAAAUGCUCCACUGCCAAAGCUGAAUGCAUAACCUGAGGUGCUUCUGCUAUCAUCUUCACUGCCUGCCCAAUCUGCAUCACAGAAUCCAAUGAGGAUUGCAGAAUUAUCUUUCACAUACUCAAUGCCAUAGUUUAGGGUCCCUUGCACAUAUCUCAGUACUCUUCUUGCAACUCCCAAAUGCUUCUUAGUCGGACAACAAACCUUGAUAAACCUUGAUAACAACUUGCAGCAUACAUUAGAUCAGGUCUUGUUGCUGUUAAAUACAAUAGACUUCCCACUAUUUUCCUGUAAAAGUCCUUCGGCUAAUUGCACUCCAUCCACUUUUUUCUUUAGCUUUUCAAGUGGGCAAAGGGAUAGAAACUGGUUUGUUCAAUCUUCGAGCCAAAUUUCACAGUAAAGACUUAGCAUUACUUACUUUGGUGUAUAAACACGCCUUGAUCCCUAUUCCUUAUGCGUAUGUAAAGUAUUGGAAAUUUCAUACUAAUAUUCCCUUUGUAGAGAUGUUUCCGAGAUCAGACAUUUCAUUAUCUUCCAUAUCAUUCCUCUUGAAUUCACUGAGCAUUCUUGUCACUACUUCAGUAUAUACAAUGUCAUCAACAUUUUUUCUUACAAUUUAUCAACCAUUCAUCAAUCAGAUCUUGUGUGUGGCUCAUUGUGCUUCUUUUGAACUUACACAAAGAGAGAUAUGCAUCAAUCUCACGUCCAGGCUCUAGGUGCUUGUUUAAGUCCAUAUAAGGCCUUCCUUAACUUAUAGACCUUGUGAUCAGCAUGCCAAAACCCUCAGGCUGAAACAUCAUCAUACCACCUGCUCAAGCACACCAUUUAGGAACCCUGCUAUGACUGACCAACAUGAAACAACUUCCAACCCUUAGUUGCUGCAUAAGAGCAAAUGAGUGUUUCGAAUCUAUCUAACCUUGCCAACAAAGGUCAUUGUAGUUGCGUCUAUCCAGGUUUCUGUGCAUAACCUUUUGCCACAAGUGGCCUUGUGUUUUUGAACUGUUCCAUCCAGAUUUAGCUUUUAAAACAAGUUUUAACACACCCAGUUUCACCUAUAUUCAUUUAUCAUAGGCUAUCAACAGCUCCCAAGUAUUGUUCUUUUCAAUCAUUUCCAACUCUGCAUUCAUAGCCUCUGUGCCAGGCUAUUUCUGCUUUGCUGCUCAUCUUUGAUAACUCUCUGGUUUAUAAUGCACAUGUGACAGAACUUUGCAUAUAUCUUUCCGAAGUUUCAACUUCACUGGGUUGGAAGCUAGGUGUGGAGCCCGACUAUGACUUCCACCAUUAUCUUCAAACCAACUCAUCCACAAUAGUGUGUGAAUGGGAAUCUUCAGCAUUGUCAAACUGGAUUCAUCAUCGGUUUGUUCCUCUCUAGCUUCUUCUGUAGAGUUAUUUUUCCUUCAAGAUUAAGGGUAUUGAGAUCGAUUCUACUUGAUGAUCACUUUUCCAAUUCCAUGACUGGUUUUCACUGAACACACUUCUUGAGAGUACUAUUUUCCUUAGAUUGAGAUGAAUUUUCCACUUUAUAUUAUCCCUUUUCACAGCUUCCAUAUCCCAUGAAAACCCCUUUUCUGGAUUUCUCAUCAAAUUUGUGCCUCAGAUGUGAUGAGACAUGAGUAUAGCAGAUACACCCAAAUACCUUUCAGGUGCUUAAUUCCAGGCUUCCUGCCUUGUGAAUGCUUCAAAAGGUGUCUUAUCUAGGACAGUAUGUUGUAAAGCAUCUAUUUUGAAGGUAAGGUUACUUACAGCUGUACUUACACAGCAUCAUUCCAAAGACACAGGGAUUCCUUUUCUCAGUCAUCAUGGAUCUUGCCAUUUCAAAACUUCCUUCUCCUUUUUCCCAUUUCACAGCAAAUCUUUUUGAGGUGAAUAUGCAAUUGUCAGUUGCCUCUCCAUUCUAUGCUUGCACAGUAUUCAUAAAUUCAUUUGAGGUGUAUUCACCACCUCUAUCACUUCUUAGCUUCUUCAAACUGAACCACUUCAGUUUCAACAAAAACUUGAACUUUGAACACAUUGAAACUCACACAUCAAGAUUUGUUUCUGAGAAAGUAUACCCAACACAUUCUUGAGAAAUCAUCAAUGAAUGUGAUGAAGUACCUAUUCCCUCCAAUGGAUUCGUUUUGCAUAGGUCCACACAAAUCUGUAUGCACCAAUUCAAGUGGACAGCUUGCUCUCCACGUUUUUUCUUUGUCAAAAGGUUCUCUGUGGUGCUUGCCUGACACACAACCUUCACACACAUCUCUCAUUUCUGUCAAAGCAGGUAGUCCAAGUACCAUUUCCUUCUGCUGCAUCUUCUUCAUGCUAGUGAAGUUCAGAUGUCCAAGCCUUCUAUGCCAUAACCAUGAAUCUUCAACCAUAGAUGCUUUUCUUGCUGCAGGGGUUAUAGACUCUAGUGAAAGGGGAAAACAUCGAUUUCCUGCCAUGAUCACUUUUGCUACAACAUUGUUGAGCCUACUAUCAUCAAAGAUUACUGCCAUAUUACCCCCAAAUAGGACAUAGUAACCAUGCUCCAUCAUUUGGCCUACACUCAGCAAGUUUUCAUCCAAACCUGGAACCAACAACACUUCAUUUAUAUAUCUUUUCCCACGCUGAGUUUCAACCACUAAAGUGCCUUUUCCAGUUGCUUGUACAAGAUCACCUGUGCCCAUUUUAACUUUGCAGGUCACAGAUCUGUCAAUAUUUAUUAAAGCAGACUCUUGUGAUGUCAUAUGGUUGCUGCAAGCACUAUCCACAAACCACACACUUCUAUCUUGCAUAAUUGAUGAGUGACAAGCGUAGAACAUGGUUCCUGUAGUUACUUCUUCUUCCCUUGCACAGUGGGCAACUUGCUUGUGACUAUCACAGUCCUUUGCAAUAUGACCAAAACGAUUGCACUUUCCACAUUUGGGUUUUCCUUUGUAUCUCUGCCACACACCAAAAUGAUAUUUUUUUGACACACUUGACACUGUGGUUUCACAGAACUUUGACUACUGCUUCCUUGCUUGUUCUGUGAAUUGAAUCUGUUAUUCCAAUUUCCGCCAGAAUUGUUGUUCCAGUUCCCACUUGGAGACCAAUUUGAUCCCUUCUUGUUUUGUCCCUGCCACUUUUGAUUUUGCCUACUCUGUGAACCUUUGUAGGUACCAGUGACUUGAUUAUUUCCAAUUCUGAGACUACUAAAAGCCCUCUCAGUUCCUGUCAAUUUAUCCCUUUCAUCAUGUAAGUCCUCCCUUUUAUCAUAUACUUUGACAGAUGCAAUGACUUCUUCAACUCUAAUAGCAUCCAGAUCUCGAGUUUCCUCAAUAAUAGACACAAUGGAUUUAUACCUCCUACUUAGACUCAUCAAUAAUUUCUGCACAAUUCUUUGUUCAGUCACAUCUUCACCAAGAGAUUUCAGAUUGUUCACAAUUCCAAAAAACCUACCCAAAUAGUCAUCUAGGUUUUCACUAUCUGUCAUUCUCAUUUACUCAAAAUCAGCCCUAACUGCUUGAAGUUUUACAGCUCUUACCUUUUUAUCUCCUCUGAACUCUCUUCUCAGAAUGUCCCAAGCCCCUUUUACAGUCUUCUCAUUUCUGAUACGAGGAAAAAGCUCAUCUGUUAUAGCUCCUUGUAUGAGACUCAACGCCUUGGCAUUUUUGAUUCUGUCUUCUCUGGAGAUGGUGGGUGGUUCCACUGGAACAUGCUCAAUCUCACUUCCUUCCUCUCCAGAGACUUCUUCCUCGACGGAAAUCUGCUGCGGUUGCACUCCGAGUUCUACUACAUCCCAUAGGUCAUGCGCUAUGAGGAUAGUCUCCAUCUUGACAGCCCAAAAAUCGUAGUUUGCACCAUCAAACUGUGGAGUUCGUAAAUCUCCACCGGAAGAACUUGAUCCCACCAUUUUUCUUAGUGAGUGUCAGUGAAUCAACCAAUAAAAGGAACCUCCUUUAUCCCUUCUGAGAUUUUUUCAGGAAGAACCUCUCUCACAGCUUUACGCCCCUCUCUGGAAUCAGACCUAGUGCUCUGAUACCAUGUUUGAAAUGGUAUCAGGCAUGGUGUUUUAGUUGGUAUUCUUCGAUAGAAGUUGAAGUUUUUUUUUCUUAGAAAACAGAGUUUUUUCUUUUCAAGAGAGAGAGAGAGGAAGAGCAAGAGUCAGUAUCUUUUUCAUAUCAGAAACCAUAAAGAUUACAAGGACUAAAUUACUCACCACUGGUCAAAAAACUGAUCCUACACACUAGGGACCUAGAAACCUUCUCCGGCCAUUAAUGGUCAUUGGAGGAUAUCAUCCAUCCACUUGGAAGAAGAUGGGAAUGCAAGGUACAAUUAAAAAAGAUAAGAACACCAGCUGUACGCAUUCUAAAAACAGAAAAUGGAACUAGCCGUUGCACAUUUGAACCUAACGGCUACUUGCUAAACAUAGCAAGUUCUUCAUCUUUUCGAUUUCAGCAUUCUCUUCACUUCUUUCUGCAGGAUUGUCAUCUGCAGUUUGAUAUUAAGCUAGUAUGCAGCUUAAAUCUCAACAGCCACAUGGUAUCGUUCAAAAAAAAAAAAAAAAAGUCAAGCCACACGGUAGAAGACAACUAGACCAAGUCAAGUAAAAGUGUAAAACCUUAGAUAUGCAAUGAACUUGCAAAGUUCUUUUCUUGGACUUGUCAAGGUUUCACUUACUUAAAUACUAUUAACCUACAUUUACGGGGGUGGACCACGGCCCAACCUAUUUUACACAAUUUUUAACCUAUGUUUUUGUGGGGCACAUACAUAAUGUAUUUUAAUGAUUUGAAUUGUCUAUAUUUUAUAACAUCAUUUAUAGAUCAUUUGAAGAAAAAAGUUAUAUAAAUCCUAGAUCAUUAAAACAUUCAUUUGUAGUGCAGAAUGGACAAAUACUGUUACACAAAGAAACCCUAAACCUUUAAUCCAAUGGUCAUAUGGUUUCAAAUUUGGGCGAUUUAUGGUACAAAAUAGAUAUGACAUGUGAGGGAAGUCCU
rnacentral:lncRNA from 1 species